rnacentral:misc_RNA from 1 species
UGGGAGAAGUCAGGACAA